rnacentral:rRNA from 1 species
AAUCAACGCUGGCGGCGUGCCUCAGACAUGCAAGUCGAACGCGAAAGUCCCCUUCGGGGGAUAAGUAGAGUGGCGUCCGGGUGAGUAACACGUAGGUAAUCUACCUUUGGGUGGGGAAUAACAACCGGAAACGGUUGCUAAUACCGCAUAAUGCAGCGGCACCACAUGGUGACAGUUGUUAAAGCGGGGGAUCGCAAGACCUCGCGCCUAAAGAGGAGCCUGCGGCGGAUUAGCUAGUUGGAGGGUAACGGCCUACCAAGGCAACGAUCCGUAGCCGGCCUGAGAGGGCGGUCGGCCACACUGACACUGAAAUACGGGUCAGACUCCUACGGGAGGCAGCAGUCGGGAAUUUUGGGCAAUGGGCGAAAGCCUGACCCAGCAACGCCGCGUGAAGGAUGAAAUCCCUCGGGAUGUAAACUUCGCAAGAACAGGAAGAAUAAGUAGGGGACAAUACCCCCUAUGAUGACGGUACUGUUUGUAAGCUCCGGCUAACUCCGUGCCAGCAGCCGCAGUAAU